GUAAGGAAACACACCAGCUUUGAGGAGAUGAAGGCUAGAGACAACUUGUUCACGGAGACUCAGGAGGAGGACGUAGGCCUAGUAAACCUGGAGGCCAAAAGACAACACGGGGGCUUCUUCAGGAAGGGAAACACCGGGUCGUGGCGGGGUGAGCUGACCGAGGCCCAGGACCACCAGCUUAAUCUCUGGAUGGAUCGUCACCUAACUCCUUCUGGCAUACACUUCAGGGAGCCUGUGGAUUAACUACCUUGCAUACCAGAGCCUUACUGACCCUUAUUACCAGAGAAUUACUCACACUUAUUACCAGAGCCUCACACUUAUAACCAGAGCCUUACUCACACUUAUUACCAGAGCCUCACACUUAUUACCAGAGCCUUACUCACACUUAUUACCAGAGCCUUACUCACACUUAUUACCAGAGCCUUACUCACACUUAUUACCAGAGCCUUACUCACACUUAUUGCCAGAGCCUUACUGACACUUAUUACCAGAGCCUUAUUCACACUUAUUACCAGAGCCUUACUGACACUUAUUACCAGAGCCUUUUUUACUAAGACUUAAUCAUAUUAGAGUCUUAUUAUUAAAGUUUAUUAUA